UCCGGCGUAGCUCAGUUGGUAGAGCAGGCGGCUGUUAACCGCCGGGUCGCUGGUUCGAGUCCAGCCGCCGGAGCCA
rnacentral:tRNA from 1 species